rnacentral:rRNA from 1 species
GACGCUCACCACUUUGUGGUUCAUGACUGGGGUGAAGUCGUAACAAGGUAGCCCUAGGGGAACCUGGGGCUGGAUCACCUCCUUAUACGAAGAUAC